UACGUAGGGGGCAAGCGUUGUCCGGAAUCAUUGGGCGUAAAGAGCGCGUAGGCGGUCCGGUAAGUCCGCUCUGAAAGUCCGGGGCUCAACCCCGGGAGGCGGGCGGAUACUGUCGGGCUAGAGUCCGGAAGAGGCGAGUGGAAUUCCUGGUGUAGCGGUGAAAUGCGCAGAUAUCAGGAAGAACACCCGUGGCGAAGGCGGCCCACUGGGCCGGUACUGACGCUGAGGCGCGAAGGCGUGGGGAGCGAACGGG
rnacentral:rRNA from 1 species